UACAGGAACUGUUGAUUGAGGAGACAUGGUUGGAAGCAUUGCCAGGGGAAUUUGAGAAGACCUAUGCAGGGAACUUGUGCAAAUUUGUGGAAAAGGAAAUUAGUGGUGGUGUCCCAAUUUAUCCUCCACUACAUCUGAUUUUUAAUGCUCUUAACACUACUGCAUUUGACAGGAUAAAGGCUGUCAUUAUUGGACAGGAUCCAUAUCAUGGACCAGG
rnacentral:misc_RNA from 1 species